GGGAAAGCAAGUAAAUAACAGCAGCUAACACAAUGUAAUUAUGUAUUAUAUAGAUAAAUGAUAACACAAAUCAUGAUAUUAGUAAUUUUUAGGAUAUCAUGCUAUGGAAACUUGGAUUUUCAUUUAUCAUCUUUGUUAAUUAUGGCACCAUUCAGCAUCAAGUUCCCAUUUAUCAUCUUUGUUAAUUAUGGCACCAUUCAGCAUCAAGUUCCCAGGUUGCAUUUACUAGUCUGAAGUCAAGUUCCAAAAGUUCCUAGAAGCCUGCAUAAAGUUUUGUUGAAUGAUUUUGAAAUUAGGAUAAAUCUGCAUAACUUCACGUCUAUAAUCUAUUUUCCCAGGAUAACUGCACAUUGCAUGGGAUUAAAGCUUUCAAGAUAUGUCCAAUGAGGUGGACUCUUACAUCCUUCCCAAUCUGAAACGUAAUCACUUAUCUUAAGUUUUCUGUUUCAAUUGCUGCAGUAGCAUCAGACUCAGAGUAAGAGCAUCCUAAGUGUGAGAGGAAGUACCUG
rnacentral:lncRNA from 1 species